UACGGAGGGGCUAGCGUUGUUCGGAAUUACUGGGCGUAAAGCGCGUGUAGGCGGCUUGGCAAGUCGGGUGUGAAAGCCCUGGGCUCAACCUAGGAAGUGCACUCGAAACUGCCUCGCUGGAGUGCCGGAGAGGAAAGCGGAAUUCUCGGUGUAGAGGUGAAAUUCGUAGAUAUCGAGAGGAACACCGGUGGCGAAGGCGGCUUUCUGGACGGUUACUGACGCUGAGACGCGAAAGCGUGGGGAGCAAACAGG
rnacentral:rRNA from 1 species